rnacentral:rRNA from 1 species
AUGGAGACACCACGGUCGCCGCGCCAUGGACCAGCUCCGCCUCCAUCCCCUCCUUUUCCCUCCCCCGUGUGGGACCUUGGCGCAAGAGACUCUGGAUGGAGUAACGCCGGCCGGAUACCAGUCCCAGGGCCAUGUGGUGCUGCUAGCAGAAUCGCGACGAGGGGAGGCGCAGAAAGAGGCGCGGCUACGGAUCCCUCGCGCGGGGGAGAGAGCGAGCGAGACAUGGAGGAGGAAAUUACAAAAAAAAAACCGUAUCUGUGGACCUUAGAAAAAAAACAUGUCAUUACUUUUUGCAAAAACCAUAUGCGCUUCGUUUGGAUGUUUGUAUUCGGAGCCUUGGCAUUGCAUUGGGUUGAAUACCAAUAUCACAAGAUAUUGGCAUUUAGAUUGAAUGCCAAUAUUUUUGUUUGGAUGUUUAGGUAUUCAGAACACAAAUCUGAUAUUGAGGUUGAAUGCUAG